rnacentral:rRNA from 1 species
CCUACGGGAGGCAGCAGUGAGGAAUAUUGGUCAAUGGACGAGAGUCUGAACCAGCCAAGUAGCGUGAAGGAUGACUGCCCUAUGGGUUGUAAACUUCUUUUAUAUGGGAAUAAAAUGUUCCACGUGUGGGAUUUUGUAUGUACCAUACGAAUAAGGAUAGGCUAACUCCGUGCCCGCAGCCGCGGUAAUACGGAGGAUGCGAGCGUUAUCCGGAUUUCAUGGGUUUAAAGGGAUCGUAGGGGGAUUGUUAAGUCAGUUGUGAAAGUUUGCGGCUCAACCGUAAAAGUGCAGUUGAAACUGGCAGGCUUGAGUAUAGUAGAGGUGGGUGGAAUUCGUGGUGUAGCGGUGAAAUGCUUAGAUAUCAGGAAGAACUCCGAUUGCGAAGGCAGCUCACUGGACUGCAACUGACACUGAGGUUCGAAAGUGUGGGGAGCAAACAGGAUUAGAUACCCCGGUAGUC